ACCGCGGGUGGGACAUGGGGUGGGGGGGGGAUUAUGGGGAGGGUCUGGUGGCACUGGGGGCACACCGGGGAGGGCGGAUUCGUACCGGAGGCUCUGGGGAGGGGUCGCUCUGCGGAGGGGGCUCACAGGGGGGGUACCGGGGUUCGCCUGCCCCCUCCCCGACCCCUCCCCUGUUUUCCCCCCGCCAUGCCCAGGCCCGGCGGCGCUGAAGAAGUCGGGCAAGCUGGAUUUCUGCAGCGCGCUGUCGGGACACGGCGCCGCGCCCCGCAUGGCCUUCGGCCACCACCCCCUGCCCGUGCUGGCCGGCGUCCGCCCCGGCAGCCCGCGGGCCUCGGCCUCGGCGCUGCACUUCCCGUCGGGGUCCCUCCUGCCCCAGUCGAGCCCCUACUUCGCCCACCCCACCAUCCGCUACCACCACGGGCAGGACUCGCUCAAGGACUUCGUGCAGUUCGUCUGCGCCGACGGCGCCGCCCAGGGCCCCCAGGUGCGGCGGGGACGGGCCCGGGGGGCGCGGGGACCGCCCGGGGGCGCGGGGACAAACGGGGACACCGGGGGACACCGGGGGACACCGGGAACCCCACCCCCGGAGGGGCAGGGCUGCGCCCCUGGAUGCAAAUGAGGCUGAGGAGGCGGGGCGUGUAUGCAGAUGAGGCGCGAGUAGGUGCGCGAGAUGCAAAUAAGGCGAGAGGGGCGGGGUCUGUAUGCAAAUACACCAUAGGGGCGGUGCCUGUAUGCAAAUACACCACAGGGGCGGUGCUGGCAUGGAAAUACACCACAAAGGGCGGAGCCUGUAUGCAAAUACACAUCAAGGGGGCGGUGCUUGUAUGCAAAUACACCACAGGGGGCGGGGUCUGUAUGCAAACGAGCCCAGGUGGCCGCACCGGCUGCGGAGGGGGUGACGGGGACCCCCAAACUCCGCCCUGGGGACCCCAAACUCGAGGACCCCCCCCCUCACCUGGAGCCGCCCUCACCUGGGGUAUCCCCCACCUGUGUGUCCCCACCUGGGCGCGCCCCAGGGGCUGCAGGGCCCCUCCGCGACCCCCGCCCGCCCCCCUGUGCCUGCCCCUCCCUCCGUCCGUCCCUCCCGCCGGUGCCGCUGCCCAGCCCGGGGGUCCCGGUGGUCCCUGCGGUUCCGGUGGUCCCGGCGGUCCCUCCCGGUGGUCCCGGGGGUCCCGGGGUCCGUCACCGUGUUCUCGUUGCAGCCGUGCGGGGCGCAGGGCCGGGCCGGGGGGGCUGCGGGGGCCCCCCUGCCCCGACCCCUGCCCCUGCCCCCGCCGGAGCCCAAAGCCCCCAGCGGCCCCCCCGGCGGAGCCCCCCCCGCACCCCGUAAGUGCCCCCGGCACCACCGGGACCCCCCCCGGGACCACCGGGACCCCCCCGGCACCACCCCCGCACCCCACGGCUCCCCCCGCGCCCGCAGCCGGGCCCCGGCCGUGGGGGGCGGGGGGCAGGGGGGGCAGGUGGGGCGCAGGUGAGGGGGCCCAGGUGGGGGCGCAGCUUGGGGGGGCAGCAGCGAGGUCCAGGGGCCCAGGUGUGAGUGCAGGUGUGAAGUACAGGGGCCCAGGUGUAAGGUGCAGGUGCCCAGGUGUGGGUGCACAUGCCCAGGUGUGGGUCCAGGUGCCCAGAUGUAGGAUGCAGGUGCCCAGGUGCGAGUGCAGCAGCAAGGUGCAGGUGCCCAGGUGUGGGUACAGCUGUGGGGUGCAGGGCACUGCAGGUGCCACUUCAGGAGCUCCGGGCUGGUGCCAGCAGGUGACAGGUGAUACAGUGACCCAGGUGUUAGGGUGCACAGGGUGGCACAGUGACCCAAGUUACAGGGUGACCCGGGUGGCACAGUGACCUGGCUGGCAGGAGCAGGUGCAGGUGCCAGGUCAUACAGUGACCUAGGUGGCAGCAGGUGGCAGUGACCCAGGUUAUAGUGACUCAAGUGCCAGCAGGUGCCAGGUAACAGAUGCCAGC
rnacentral:lncRNA from 1 species